CAUCAGAUGACUGAAAAGCAAGUAAUGGUCUCUUAAACCAAAAAAUAGUAAUAUGGUAUUUACUUCUGAUGA
rnacentral:tRNA from 1 species